rnacentral:lncRNA from 1 species
UCAGAUGAACGACCGUUAACCGUAAGACCCUUUCUGAAGUCAUGGAGGGGAGAACCAAUCGUUUACUUUCAGCAACUUCCCAUGGGACACCCUGUAUGUACACAAGAUCGGUGUAACGCGUGAUCAUAUUGUAUUUUGCUAUAAGAGGCGAUUAUAUAAUUAUACAUUAAUGUACAAUAGCAUACAGCGCGAAGCCGCAACACGUAAAUCGUGCUCCUCGGCUCACUCUCCCCUAAACGCCCAUCUCGGCAUUUGUUAUUGCUAGCUAACGGUAUAAUAGCGACGCGAUCAUCCAGUUGCAUAUAAUACACAGCGGAGGAGCUAUCAUGGAAUUUACGCUUACUAUUCCGAGCGGAAAUUUUCGAGUGCUCGAGCUCUUUACGAGACCCUUUCGAAAUCGAUCCGCCACCAUCGCGCGAUAACGUACAAAUGGUACCGGUUUGUCCCGACCGCCCGCCUCCGUAGAUCGCGUCCCGAUCGUAAUCGACUUUCCCGCACCUUCGAACGGCGUUUCAAGAACUUUCCCAUCGUUUUGCAUACCAUUCGCACGUCCGUAAAAGGACGCUCGACGAGGGAGAGGGUCGUUCCUUCCUUCCCUUUGUGGUUUCGACAAUGAUUCCAUAAUAGCUAUUCAGAAAUCGAUCUAGGUACAUCGGCGCAUGCUCGACCGUGCAUAAUUUCCAUAUCUCCUUCCUUAGUUUGCAAUUUUUCUCAAGAAAAUUCGAAUCAGCGUAAUUUGUCCGUCGAAGAAAAAAAUAUCACGUAACUGUAAAAUUCGACUAAAGCUUAGGGAGAAGAGAAUCGGUUGACGCGAAAUUAUAGUAGAUAAUUUGAAUUAUGGCGCGAUGAUUUUCAAUCAAUUGGCCGCAAUGCAAUUUUGUGCAGUGAUUUUUCACGGCGCCAGAAUUUAAAUUUUCUAUUUGAACAUCUGUACAGUUUCCUCGCAUUAUCUAUUAAAUGUUAGUCGGAGCAUCUCUCCUUAAAAACGGCGAUAUGUGCUUCUCGCGUAGCAGGCUUACGCUUAUUCUUCACACUUUACGCUACGAAAAUAAUGCCUCAGAUAGAAUGUCAGAUUUCGUGAAUAAAGCGUGACUUAUUCUAUUUUGUCUCCUAUUUAUUUCUAUCAUCUUUUUUAUUGUCUGAAAUGUGUGACGCGACGUAACGGAGGAUCGAGGGGCAGCCUUGUGAGCCGCGUAAAUCACAUAUAACUGGCGCAAAUGUAUUGUGAGCGAGAAAUCUAAUAGGCACAGUAGCCAUGCGCUGAUAAUAGACAUCCAAUUCGUUGACCGAGUGUGGAAAUAUCGCAGCGGCGAAACAUGGAGUCGAACGAAUCGCCUCGGCAAGAGCAAAAGGAAGGAAAAAGAAAAAGAAAAAAAACAAAUGUAAAAAUAAUCGACGAUCGACAUUGGUGUUUAAGUACAUCCAACGCUGCGUGUACGCGCAUCCACGUAUCUGUACGCAUCUAUAAUCGGCGGAACUCUUUACACAAUAUCAUACGCAAUCGUCAUCAAUCCUCGUUACUAUAUCGCGCGCCUAGACUGCGUCAGCGCGUGCCAAUAACAAAACUAUCGUGUAACGUGGAGAGAUAAAGUGCUAUCUGCAUCUCUCGCGUCUCCUCUCGCUUUAACCGGGUCGCGCGUUUCCUAUGAUACAUGCAUUUACGUAUUUACAAUAUUACCUAUCGUUACGCUAAUAUAGUUGUCUCACGGUUCACGCGUAUCGUUUAAUGCGAUUCGCACUCCUAACUUGGCAGUGGAAUCGCUUUAUCUAUUACGCACCGUGAAGAAGCUACGAUUGCAUCUCCGCAGAAAUAUUAUGCGUUACUAAUAACAGUGGAAGUGAACGCGCGAGCAAAACGGAGACGGAUCAAUAAAUUAGUAACAUAAGUAAUAUACAGGGUGUGCUUUGUCAAACCUAACUUACUUAUGCGAAGUUUGUACGAUAUCGGUAACGGUUAAAAUCUCUCGAAACAAAUCUACAUUACUUUAUCGGUCAAGAACAUAAUGAUAGCAGGAAUUAGACAACAAGGAGAGAAGGAAAAAAAAA